GGAAGGGGUGUAUUUAUUAGAUAAAAAACCAAUGCUCUUCGGGGCUCCUUGGUGAUUCAUGAUAACUUAACGAAUCGCAUGGCCUUGUGCCGGCGAUGGUUCAUUCAAAUUUCUGCCCUAUCAACUUUCGAUGGUAGGAUAGUGGCCUACCAUGGUUUCAACGGGUAACGGGGAAUUAGGGUUCUAUUCCGGAGAGGGAGCCUGAGAAACGGCUACCACAUCCAAGGAAGGCAGCAGGCGCGCAAAUUACCCAAUCCCGACACGGGGAGGUAGUGACAAUAAAUACUGAUACAGGGCUCUUUUGAGUCUUGUAAUUGGAAUGAGUACAAUUUAAAUCCCUUAACGAGGAACAAUUGGAGGGCAAGUCUGGUGCCAGCAGCCGCGGUAAUUCCAGCUCCAAUAGCGUAUAUUAAAGUUGUUGCAGUUAAAAAGCUCGUAGUUGAACCUUGGGCCUGGCUGGCCGGUCCGCCUCACCGCGUGCACUGGUCCGGCCGGGCCUUUCCUCCUGGGGAGCCGCAUGCCCUUCACUGGGUGUGUCGGGGAACCAGGACUUUUAC
rnacentral:rRNA from 1 species